AUUAAAUUGAAAAUAGUGGUUGAAAAGUGCGUUUUAAAACAGCUUAAAGAACUUUUAAAAAAAGUAAUAUUAUCGUUGUUUUUUCAAUAAGAUCACAGUUUAUAUAAGUUUUUAAUACACCUGGAAAUACCACAACAAACGAAUCUAUUCACGCGUCGAAUCAUGAUUUUGUUAACAUUCAAAACGCACACACAAAUAAAAACAGGCCUCAGAUUUUAAAUGUAACAUUAAUUAAAAAUCCGGGAUAUCCAAUUAUGAGUGAGUGAAUUAAUUGAGUUUAGUUAUUUAGCUUAGAAAGAAUUUCUUUUAUUUUUGUUAUAAUUGGCAGUAAUCAGAUAAAGCUGUUUUUUUAUCUUAUUCACCUGAUCUUACUCUUGCUCAAAGAUUAUUUUGAAAAUGUUGAUUAAAUAAAAUUGUAUUAUUGCAUUUCCAGUCCUUUUGUUUUCUAUUUUUUAUUCUAUUUUAUCAUUUUGUUUCAGAGUUGUGAUUUUUAAGGAAAUUAAAUAAUAAUUUUCUAAAAUAUAA